UACGUAGGGCGCAAGCGUUGUCCGGAUUCACUGGGUGUAAAGGGUGCGCAGGCGGACUGGCAAGUCAGGGGUGAAAUCUCACAGCUCAACUGUGAAACUGCCUUUGAUACUGCUGGUCUUGAGUCAGGGAGAGGUUGAUGGAAUUCCGCGUGUAGCAGUGAAAUGCGUAGAUAUGCGGAGGAACACCGAUGGCGAAGGCAGUCCCCUGGACCUGUACUGACGCUCAUGCACGAAAGCGUGGGGAGCAAACAGG
rnacentral:rRNA from 1 species